UUUAGUGGCGGACGGGUGAGUAACGCGUGGGUAACCUGCCUCACACUGGGGGAUAACACUUAGAAAUAGGUGCUAAUACCGCAUAAGCGCACGGGACUGCAUGGUCUUGUGUGAAAAACUCCGGUGGUGUGAGAUGGACCCGCGUCUGAUUAGCUGGUUGGCGGGGUAACGGCCCACCAAGGCGACGAUCAGUAGCCGGCCUGAGAGGGUGGACGGCCACAUUGGGACUGAGACACGGCCCAAACUCCUACGGAAGGCAGCAG
rnacentral:rRNA from 1 species